GGCCCCGUAGCUCAACCGGAUAGAGCACCCGCCUUCUAAGCGGGUGGUUGGGUGUUCGAGUCACCCCGGGGUCGCCA
rnacentral:tRNA from 1 species